GACGAACUGCCCGAACGUUGUUCGGAUUUACUGGGCGUAAAGGGCGCGUAGGCGGUCAGCACAAGUCAGUUGUGAAAUCUCCGGGCUUAACUCGGAAAGGUCAACUGAUACUGUGCGACUAGAGUGCAGAAGGGGCAACUGGAAUUCUCGGUGUAGCGGUGAAAUGCGUAGAUAUCGAGAGGAACACCUGCGGCGAAGGCAGGUCUCUGGGCCACUACUGACGCUGAGAAGCGAAAGCAUGGGGAGCGAACAGG
rnacentral:rRNA from 1 species